UACAGAGGUCCCAAGCGUUGUUCGGAUUUAUUGGGCGUAAAGAGCGUGUAGGCGGCCAGACAGGUCCGUUGUGAAAACUCGAGGCUCAACCUCGAGAUGUCGAUGGAAACCGUCUGGCUAGAGUCCGGAAGAGGAGUGUGGAAUUCCUGGUGUAGCGGUGAAAUGCGCAGAUAUCAGGAAGAACACCUAUGGCGAAGGCAGCACUCUGGGACGGUACUGACGCUGAGACGCGAAAGCGUGGGGAGCGAACAGG
rnacentral:rRNA from 1 species